CACGUAGGGCGCAAGCGUUGUCCGGAAUUAUUGGGCGUAAAGAGCUCGUAGGCGGUCUGUUGCGUCCGCUGUGAAAUUUCGGAGCUUAACUCCGAAACUGCAUUCGAUACUGGCGUGCUUGAGGACUGGAGAGGAGACUGGAAUUCAUGGUGUAGCAGUGAAAUGCGUAGAGAUCAUGAGGAAGACCAGUGGCGAAGGCGGGUCUCUGGACAGUUCCUGACACUGAGACACGAAGGCCAGGGGAGCAAACGGG
rnacentral:rRNA from 1 species